rnacentral:rRNA from 1 species
AACGAACGCUGGCGGCAUGCCUAACACAUGCAAGUCGAACGAGACCUUCGGGUCUAGUGGCGCACGGGUGCGUAACGCGGGGGAACCUGCCCUUAGGUUCGGAAUACCUCCCCGAAAGGUGUGCUAAUACCGGAUAAUGUCUUCGGACCAAAGAUCUAUCGCCUUUGGAUGGGCCCGGGUUGGAUUAGCGAGUUGGUAGGGUAAAAGCCUACCAAGGAGACGAUCCAGAGCUGGUCGGUGAGGAUGAUCAGCCACAAUGGGACUGCGACACGGCCCACAACGCGACGGGAGGGAGGAGUGGGGAAUAUUGGACAAUGGACGAAAGCCUGAUCAAGCAAUGCCGGGUGAGUGAUGAAGGGCGUAGGGUUGUAAAGCUCUUUUACACGGGAUGAUAAUGACGGUACCGGGAGAAUAAGCUCCGGCUAACUACGUG